GCACCUCAUUUACACCGAGUAAUUCUCUGUUCAAAUCAGAUUACCCUGACGCCUAACAGCUAGCCUCCUCAAUCAAAUUUUAUUAUUAGCUAAAUUAUAACUCGUAAUACAAUUAAAUAAAUCAUUUUACCCCUUAGUAUGGGCGACAAAAAAGGAAAAAAGAGCAAUAGAUAAAGUACCGCAAGGGAACGCUGAAAAAGAAAUGAAAAAAACCAUUUAAGCCCUAAAUAGCAGAGCCAACCCCUCGUACCUUUUGCAUCAUGAUUUAGCAAGUAAAACACAAGCAAAGAGACCUUUAGUUUGUGACCCCGAAACUGAGCGAGCUACUCCAAGACAGCCUAUUGGGCGAACCCGUCUCUGUUGCAAAAGAGUGGAAAGAGCUUCGAGUAGAGGUGACAAAUCUAUCGAGCCCAGUUAUAGCUGGUUGCCUGAGAAAUGAAUAAAGUUCAGCCCUCUAAGUCCUUCCCCAAUCACCCGCGCUCUACGCUUUUAAGACUAAGGAAACUAGAGGAGUUAGUCAAAAGAGGAACAGCUCUUCUGACAAAAGAAACAACUU
rnacentral:rRNA from 1 species